AAAGCGUGCGCAGGCGGUUCGGAAAGAAGGAUGUGAAAUCCCAGGGCUUAACCUUGGAACUGCAUUCUUAACUACCGGGCUAGAGUAUGUCAGAGGGGGGUGGAAUUCCGCGUGUAGCAGUGAAAUGCGUAGAUAUGCGGAGGAACACCGAUGGCGAAGGCAGCCCCCUGGGAUAAUACUGACGCUCAUGCACGAAAGCGUGGGGAGCAAACAGGAUUAGAUACCCCAGU
rnacentral:rRNA from 1 species